UACAGAGGGUGCGAGCGUUGUUCGGAAUUAUUGGGCGUAAAGGGUGCGCAGGCGGCCGUGUGUGUGAGGCGUGAAAGCCCGGGGCUUAACCCCGGAAUUGCACCUCAAACUACACGGCUAGAGCAUUGGAGAGGGUAGCAGAAUUCACGGUGUAGCAGUGAAAUGCGUAGAUAUCGUGAGGAAUACCAGAGGCGAAGGCGGCUACCUGGACAAUUGCUGACGCUCAGGCACGAAAGCGAGGGGAGCAAAAGGG
rnacentral:rRNA from 1 species